UACGAAGGGGGCUAGCGUUGCUCGGAAUCACUGGGCGUAAAGCGCACGUAGGCGGCUUUCUAAGUCAGGGGUGAAAUCCUGGAGCUCAACUCCAGAACUGCCUUUGAUACUGGAAAGCUUGAGUUCGGGAGAGGUGAGUGGAACUGCGAGUGUAGAGGUGAAAUUCGUAGAUAUUCGCAAGAACACCAGUGGCGAAGGCGGCUCACUGGCUCGAUACUGACGCUGAGGUGCGAAAGCGUGGGGAGCAAACAGG
rnacentral:rRNA from 1 species